UACGUAGGUGGCGAGCGUUGUCCGGAUCUACUGGGCGUAAAGGGAGCGUAGGCGGACUUUUAAGUGAGAUGUGAAAUACUCGGGCUCAACUUGAGUGCUGCAUUUCAAACUGGAAGUCUAGAGUGCAGGAGAGGAGAAUGGAAUUCCUAGUGUAGCGGUGAAAUGCGUAGAGAUUAGGAAGAACACCAGUGGCGAAGGCGAUUCCCUGGACUGUAACUGACGCUGAGGCUCGAAAGCGUGGGGAGCAAACAGG
rnacentral:rRNA from 1 species